GUCUCUGUGGUGCAAUGGAUCAGUGCAUCUGGCUGUUAACCAUAAGGCUGGUGGUUCGAGCCCACCUAGGAACG